GAUGGGGGCACGAACCCGUGUCCCCUGCAUCGGCAGGUGGACUCUCAACCACUGCGCCACCAGGGAAGCCCAAUAUCUUUUAUUAUUUUUUAACAUCUUUAUUGGAGUAUAAUUGCUUUACAAUGGUGUGUUAGUUUCUGCUUUAUAACAAAGUGAAUCAGCUAUACAUACACAUAUAUCCCUAUAUCUCUUCCCUCUUGUGUCUCCCUCCCUCCCACCCUCCCUAUCCCAUCCUUCUAGGUGGUCACAAAGCACCGAGCUGAUCUCCCUGUGCUCUGUGGCUGCAUCCCACUAGCUAUUGAUUUUACAUUUGGUAGUGCAUAUAUGUCCUAUACCAUUUCCUAUACUACUUUAACUUCUUUGUUCCUGUAUUUGUUCUUUGUUCUUAUUUGUUCUUUGUUCUCCUUAAUUACUUAUAUUUAUAUUUUGAAUCAUUAAAUGAAACUCCAGAUUUAAAAUCCCCAGUUUGUUAAAAGAAUAAAGGCAAAUGCUAUAUUGCGUUUUUAAAGCCUCCUCACUUAGGAUUAUUUAAAUUGCAUUUUUCCUGAUUUUUUCCUACACAAGGGGUUAUAAACAGACUUUGUAUGAAAAAGAAUAGAAAAUUGAACAGAGUUCUGCAUAAGGAGGAAAGAGCUUUAUUAGGAGGAGAAAGAUGUGCUGGAGCCAAUGAGUAUUGUUUUAACCCAAAAACGUGAACCUUUCUGUGUGAAGAUGUCAACACAAAACAAAACAACACAAUCAUGUAGAUUUUAUUGCAGUGUAGUUAUUAGCAAAGAUAAGAGUAAAAUAGUCUGAACACUUUUUCUUUGUUUCAGCUUUUAAACAUUAGUUCUUACCUUGAUAAGUUAAAAAAAAAACUUAGAGAAUUUUAAUAUCUGAGACUCAGCCAAAAAUAAAGCCAAUAAAGGCACAUAGGCAUCUUCACUUCCUGUUUACAUCCCUUAGAAUCAGGAAGUCAUUCUGAUCCUCAACAGAUAAUUUCCUUUCAGUUGCAUUUGCUUAAAGGUUAUUAUUCUUCUCUAAUGUUCCAUAAAGUAUUCUCCGAUGGUCCAGUCCAUAAUGACCCUUGCCUUUUCCACCUGGGAUUUUAUUUCCUCAGUUGGACGAGAAGCAGUAUUUAGACCUCAUAUUUCUUAUCCAGUCCUGCACUGGGCACAUUUUUUGUUCUUAGGCAGUGUCCUGGUAUCAGAGAUUUCUCUUGGCUGUUCUGUUGAGAAAUAGGGGGUUUGUGGACCUUGAGAGGAAACACACACUCAUGCAGAUGGAGAUGAGGCAUGAGGGCUCCGGACAUGGUACAUAAGAAGUCUUGGGAGCUGGCAAAGACUGUGGAACCACAUUAGCAUCUUGUCAGUGGGUCUGCACUGGUCAGUCACCUUAGAGAAGGUUGAGUUCAGACCAGGAAUUGAGAUCAUUGUGUGUACGGGGGAGUGGCGGUGGGACAGUGUUCCCUGUGGCAGGGAAAAUCUGUCCUUUUUUUUGGUGUUUCAAUUUAGACAUUGUUCUGCUGAGUAAGACUGGCUCUAGGGCUGUGAAGUCUAGGGAAAUAGUUUCUUCAUUUUGUGAAUGGAUAUGGUUCCGAUGCAGUGAGAGGGACAUUCUGAAUAUGUGUAGUAAAAUCUACCCUCAGAGGCCCUGGGGCUGGAGCUCACAGUACGUUUUGGGCCUUCACAGAGAGCCCUAAAUCAGGAAGCUUUAGGGAAAGAGACGGGCUCUCCUGGGAGUGCAGAGACGGGAGACCCAGGCUCCUCUAACUCUUAGGUCUCCUGUUGCCAUCCCAGCAGCCCCUACUGCCCAGCUAAGCAGAGGAAAGUGAGUCCUCUACUUAGGGGUGGCCUUGAGGCUAGGGAGGCACAGGGUGAAAGCAGCAUGGGGGGGUCAGUGCUGAGGUAUCCAAGUAUGGGCCCCAGCAGUGGAAGUAACCACUGAGCGGCCAGCUAGCAGGCCUGCCAGCCUCUCACUACCAGCCCUAGGAGAGCCCUGACCCCAGACCCAGGAGAGAGAGAAGCAGUUCUCCUUGAAAGAAUGAAAAAAUGCAAACUAGCAACAGAAGGGCUGGGUGACAAAUGAGCUGGGCAUGGGUGAGGGAGAGAAUGAGGAGUUGAGAUCCGUGCCAGGCUGGAACACAGGCCCGGGCAGGCAGCAAGGCAGGCAGCACUGUGGGCACCGGAAAGGGCCUGGAGCUGGGGCUCAGCAGGCCAGCUUUCAGUGCCACACCAGCUGCUCACAAGCUGUUUGACCUUGGCCAAGCUAAUCUGAUUGUCUAAUAUUUUGGGUUCAGUGGAGCUGUGGUGGAAGUGAAGCUCCCUGAGAUUACUUGUUUCUAUCUAGCAGUUAUAGGACGAGGCUUGGCCAAUCCCCAGCCAGACCUUCAUGAGUCCUAUUGUGCCGGAAGCUGUGACUUCAUCAGCCGUGUCACCUAGGAGUGUUGCUCCGAUGCAGGUAUUCUCUGCAUAAUGCUGUCCAUAAGGAUAAAGAAAACAAUGGCAUAAAGAUGGAUCAUCUGGGAAGACCAGGCUGUCCCCUGGAGUCACCAAGGACAGAAGUUCUUGGAGGGCAGGAAGAUGAGAUGAGAGAAGAUACCCCACUAUUCGUGAGGGUAGCAAGAGAGCCCAGGGAUUCUGAGGCUGAGAUCUGUGCCCCUGGGCCAUCAGUUUGAGAGUGGCUAAGCCUGCAAGGAGUCCUGUGACAUCUUAUCUCAGAUGGGGGAGGUCUUCUGAGACCCUCAUUAUCUGUGUUUAUACUGGAAAAAAAGAUAAUAAAUAUUUUGAGACUCUCAGAAAA